GACGAACGCUGGCGGCGUGCUUAACACAUGCAAGUCGAACGGAAAGGCCCUGCAUUUGUGGGGUGCUCGAGUGGCGAACGGGUGAGUAACACGUGAGUAACCUGCCCUUGACUUUGGGAUAACUUCAGGAAACUGGGGCUAAUACCGGAUAGGAGCUCCUGCUGCAUGGUGGGGGUUGGAAAGUUUCGGCGGUUGGGGAUGGACUCGCGGCUUAUCAGCUUGUUGGUGGGGUAGUGGCUUACCAAGGCUUUGACGGGUAGCCGGCCUGAGAGGGUGACCGGCCACAUUGGGACUGAGAUACGGCCCAGACUCCUACGGGAGGCAGCAGUGGGGAAUAUUGCACAAUGGGCGGAAGCCUGAUGCAGCAACGCCGCGUGCGGGAUGACGGCCUUCGGGUUGUAAACCGCUUUCGCCUGUGACGAAGCGUGAGUUACGGUAAUGUGUAAAGAAGCACCGGCUAACUACGUG
rnacentral:rRNA from 1 species